UACUUCUAAAGCAAAGUAAAGCCCCCAUCUUUGCUCAUUUGUUAGGUUUGGGUGUCUGUUGUUACUAGUUGCUCCUUCCAUAUUGGUUUCUUCAUCUUGAUCUACCAACAUCUCCUCUUCUACUGCAGGUAUGUGGACAUCAUCUUCGUCAAGCGGAGUGUAGUUGAGGUCAAGUGGGGCGUUGUUGAGGUGCUGGGAGCACCAUAGUGAACUUGCUGAUCAGCUGAAAGGUAGACCGGCGAGGAGCAGCUGAAAGGUAGACCGGCGAGGAGCAACUGAAAGACAGACCUGCGAGGAGCAGCUGAUAAGUUGCCAGGUAAGGUGGCCAUGUGGACCAGCACACAAGACCAAAACUGAUGACCAAAACUAAUGGACUGAGUAUGUCAGGUACCUUUCCUUCCCCGACAAAUUGACUGGAGUUGCAGCAGCUCCUGCCUUCCUCUUUUGGCGACGCACUCGGCUAAGAGCGGCGGAUGGCGAGGAGGUGGAGAACUAUGGCCUCCACGUUCGUUGAAGCGACAGCGAGCGCACGGAGGACCCUGCGACGGCGGCCCCUGCGACGGCGACCAGAGCAGCGGACGACGGCCGGAGGUGGAGCUGCUCACGGCGGCACCUCAGACGGUGGGCGUCGCGGCGGCCCCUCAGACGGUGGGCGGAGCGGCGGCUGGAGAUGGAGCUGCUCACAGCGGGCCCUCGCGCGUGGUCGCGGCGGACGGCGGCCCCUCCGACGGCGAGAAGAGCGGCGGACGGCCGCCGGAGGUGGAGCUGCUUGCGGCGGCUGGUGGAGGGCGCCGGCGAGCUCGUGGAGGGCGCCGGCGAGCUCGUGGAGGGCGCCGGCGAGCUCGUGGAGGGCGCCGGCGAGCUAGUGGAGGGCUCCGGCGAGCUCUUGCAUGGCUCCGGCGAGCUCGUGCAGGGGUGCCGGUGAGCUCGUGCGGCGCGGAUCGCGGCCGGAUCGUGGCCGGAUCACGCGCGCGGCCGCUGAUUGCGUGCGUUGUUUCCGUGAUCUGAUUGUGGGGAGUUUGUUGGACUGAUUUCAAAGUGUAAAGGGUUUUUCUGUAAAAUGGUCAACAGUUCAAAAUAUUUCUCCCCCGCGCAGCUUUUUUCGGGACGGAGGGAGUACUUUUUUUGGAAA